rnacentral:rRNA from 1 species
CGCGUAGGCGGCCUUUCAAGUCAGGUGUGAAAUCCCGGGGCUCAACCCCGGAAGAGCAUUUGAUACUGUGAGGCUUGAGUAUGGGAGAGGGAAGUGGAAUUCCUGGUGUAGCGGUGAAAUACGUAGAUAUCAGGAGGAACACCGGUGGCGAAGGCGGCUUCCUGGACCAAUACUGACGCUGAGGCGCGAAGGCGUGGGGAGCAAACA